rnacentral:rRNA from 1 species
GACAGAGGGUGCAAACGUUGUUCGGAAUUACUGGGCGUAAAGCGCGUGUAGGCGGCCCUGUAAGUCGGGUGUGAAAUCCCACGGCUCAACCGUGGAAGUGCAUUCGAAACUACGGGGCUAGAGUUCUGGAGAGGAAGGUGGAAUGCUUGGUGUAGAGGUGAAAUUCGUAGAUAUCAAGCGGAACACCGGUGGCGAAGGCGGCCUUCUGGACAGUAACUGACGCUGAGACGCGAAAGCGUGGGGAGCAAACAGG